AUUCAACUGAAGAGUCACAAAUAGGACGAAACGCACAUCUUGGAU
rnacentral:hammerhead_ribozyme from 1 species